UGCAGCAUUGAGGAUGACAAGAGGUCA
rnacentral:piRNA from 1 species